rnacentral:misc_RNA from 1 species
UUUCCGUAGGUGAACCUGCGGAAGGAUCAUUACAGAGUUCAUGCCCGAAAGGGUAGACCUCCCACCCUGGUGUAUCAUUACUUUGUUGCUUUGGCGAGCGUAAGCUCGCCAGAGAAUACCAAAACUCUUUUUAUUAAUGUCGUCUGAGUACUAUAUAAUAGUUAAAACUUUCAACAACGGAUCUCUUGGUUCUG